UCUCAAUGGCGGCGGCCUCCUGCGUAAAGACAUCAACAGACGGUUUGGAAACGGCGAUACAAGCAGACACGGAUGUACAAAAGUCCCAACUGCUUUGGUUUGAUCCUUUUCAGUUCAUCUCAAAACUCCACAUUUAAUAGAAAAAGUUUCCUAAAGGCAAUAUUGUAUUUUCCGCUUUUAUUUUGAAAAACCAACUUUUUACCUUCAGGUUUUUAUUGUGUUUCGUGUUUUGAUUCACUUAUGCUUUAUGUGAUGCUUUUCAUGUUUUUUUACGAUGGGGACGCCGCCAUCUCUGAACCGGAUGUAACCAGUGAUUGGUCCAAGUCGACGUUUCUAUGGCAACCACUCUUUCCAAUCAGACGUCUGUGGCAUUUUGGCUUCUUGGAGCCACUUCCUGUUUGGAACGCCAAGAGGGAGGAGUCUCUCAGUCCAGUUCUCAUUUACAGUCAAUAGCAGUGAUGACGUUCUCCCAUUUCCUUCAUUCUACGUUGAUCCUGGUUUGACCCUGUAACUUUGGCGAAAACUACCACCAGUACACGCGUGUGGAAGCUACAUCUACAUGUGACAGCAGACACGCCGUUUGGAAAAGAAAGCAGUAGGGUUAACCCUAACACUGACCCUUAAAGGACACAUCUAUCCACUUCAAAAAACCAAAAGUGUGUUAGGAAACAAACGGAAGACAGUCGUCCAGGAAGUUAAAACUGGUCUGCCAGCAAUCCAGAGCAGCGCCGCACAGCAGAGACGUGACCUCAGAAGGCGACGGCGGCGGGAAUGACAUCCGGAAUCAAAGAGGAAUGCAGGGAAUUGGACAGCCGUGGUCCUUCUGGCGUGCCAAACGUGCACAGUGUGACGUGACACGUUAGCAGACACACCUCUGAGGUUUUUCACAAUAAGAUGUUUGGUGUCAGAAUGACCCGUUGUGAUUUUGAGAUUCCAUCGGCUUCCCUUGUCCUACGGGUCAAAACAGAACCACUCCACCACAGCCCCCAAAAUGAAGCAACUUCAUUGAAUUUUAAAAUGUAAAAUCUAUUGUUGAAACAACAUGUUACUUUUUUUUAUCAUAUUUUCUGUUACUCAACACAAAAUCCCUUUUAAGCUUAUUUCUGAUUUAAUUAAACUGAAAACUGGAAAAAAAAGUUCUCAAUCUGGAAUUUCCUUCCGUUUUCAUAUUCUUCAUGAAGUGAAUUAUAAAAACCCUUUAAUCAUCCCGCAAAACAACAAAA